AUUGAACGCUGGCGGCAGGCCUAACACAUGCAAGUCGAACGAGUGGCGGACGGGUGAGUAAUGUCUGGGAAACUGCCCGUUGGAGGGGGAGAACUACUGGAAACGGUAGCUAAUACCGCAUACCCUCUGAUGUGCCCACAUGGGAUUAUCGUGUAGGUGAGGUAACGGCUCACCUAGGCGACGAUCCCUAGCUGGUCUGUGAGGUUGACCAGCCACACUGGAACUGAGACACGGGCCAGACUCCUACGGGAGGCAGCAGUGGGGAAUAUUGCACAAUGGGCGCAAGCCUGAUGCAGCCAUGCCGCGUGUAUGAAGAAGGCCUUCGGGUUGGAAAGUACUUUCAGCGGGGAGGCGUUACCCGAAGAAGAAGCACCGGCUAACUCCGUGCCAGCAGCCGCGGUAAUAC
rnacentral:rRNA from 1 species